CUGUCACCCAGGCUUGAGUGCAGUGGUGCAAUCUCGGCUCACUGCAAGCUCUGCCUCCCGGGUUCACACCAUUUUCCUGCCUCAGCCUCCCGAGUAGAUGGGACUACAGGUGCCUGCCUCCAUGCCUGGCUAACUUUUUUGUAUUUUUAAUACAGACGGGGUUUCACUAUGUUAGCCAGGAUGGUCUCGAUCUCCUGACCUCGUGAUCUGCCGGCCUUGGCCUCCCAAAGUGCUGGGAUUACAGAUAACCUUCACUCUUCUCUGCAAUGAAUCCCAAAAGUAUGUAGUUGAGCUGACUGCGAGGUGCUUGAGAUGCAAGAGACUCCACAAAUGGGAUUCGGCCUCUGGAAAGUGGUGGUAGUUCCAGAUUUAUGUGGAUGUUACUUUGUUUUUCCCUAUAAAAUAUAUUCUUUAAACUAUCAAA